AAUGAACGCUGGCGGCAUGCCUAACACAUGCAAGUCGAACGGUAACGAGACACCGCUUGUUGCUUCGCUGACUACUGUCAGACGGGAGAGGUAAGGUCAGGGAAACUGCCUGAUGGCUGGGGACAACUAAUGACUACUGUAACCAAUACCUCAUACCGCCUCAAAACCUUUAAGGGGUACCCUAUGUUCCUCAUGCCGCCAUAGGUCCCUACAUGGAGAGGACCUGGUUGGCGUUAGUAACGGAUGCGACGUGACGACCACCCCUAGGUGACCAUACAUGAUCAACCUGCAAGGUGGAUCUGACACACUGGCACUAAUACUCCGGCCAGACUCCUAGGGGAAGAUUGCAUAAGGAAUCCUCGGCUGAGGCGGCAACCCUGACCGAACAACGCCGCGCGACUGAAUAAAGUUUUCUUAUCGCAAAGCUCUGUUGAUAAAGAAUAACAACUGUGAUAAUGGAAAGUUCAUACUGAGAAGGUACUUAAUCAGAAAGGGACGGCUAACUACGUGCCACCAACCGCGGUAAUACGUAUGUCCCGAGCGUUGUCCGGAUUUAUUGCGCGUAAAGCGAGCGCACGCAGUUAGAUAACUCUGAAGUUAAAGGCAGUGUCUCAACCAUUGUAGGCUUUGGAAACUGUUUAACUUGAGUGCAAAAUGCGAGAGUGGAAUUCCAUGUGUAGCGGUGAAAUGCGUAGAGAUCUGGAGGAACACCGGUGGCGAAGGCGGCUCUCUGGUCGAUGACUGACGCUCAGGCUCGAAAGCGUGGGGAGCAAACAGGAUUAGAUACCCUGGUAGUCCACGCCGUAAACGAUGUGGACUAGGAGGUAGUUCCUUUGAGGGGUGGCUUCCGGCGGUAACGGCAUAAGUCGCUCGCCUGGGGAGGUCGGCCGCCAGGUUAGAACUUCAAAGAAUUGGCGGGGGCCCGCCCCAGCGGUGGAGCCAGGGGUUUAAUUUGAUGCCACGGGAAGGACCUUUCCCGGUUCUGACCUCCACGAAACUCGUCAGAGAUGAGAAUGUGCAUUCGGGAACCUCGAGACCGGUGGGCACAGGCUGUUGUCCACUUGUGGUGUGAAAAGGUGGGGUAAAUCCCGCAACGAACGCCACCCUUAUCCUUUGUUGCCCCUCGUCCGGCCGGGCACUCAAAGGAGACUGCCAGUGAUAAACUGGAGGAAGGUGGGGAUGACGUCAAGUCAUCAUGCCCCUUACGACCAGGGCUACACACGUGCUACAAUGGCGCAUACAAAGAGAAGCGACCUCGCGAGAGCAAGCGGACCUCAUAAAGCCAGUCUCAGUCCGGAUUGGAGUCUGCAACUCGCCUCCAUGAAGUCGGAAUCGCUAGUAAUCGUGGAUCAGCACGCCGCGGUGAAUACGUUCCCGGGCCU
rnacentral:rRNA from 1 species